CGAUUGGCGAUUUGGGCAUACCCAUCACCGCGAGAAUCGGGAGCCGUGGGAGUACGGGCCACCGUCGUCGCCUCGCCUCCAUUUGUUGCUCUGGGCAGUCAGUUGGUCGUCGCGGAAGCUUGGGUAUGCGUCAUUGGAGCGUCGGGGCACUACAGCCACGACAAUUGCUUGCCAGAGUCUUUGCUUUGACCUCGAUCCGCUGUGCGUCGCGGGUAGCUUCGUUCGGUGUCCAUCUCCGACGAACCAGUGACCGAGGACAUAGGUGUUCAGCAGGUGGAAAUUGCUGAGCAGGAGCUCGU